UUUAUUAGCCACCACAAAAUAACUUGAUUUGCAUCAGCAGGAAGGAUAGACGAGAAGUUAAUGAAGCUUUUGAUCUUUUGCUAUUGACUCCUGGACAAUGCAGUUUGGAGUAAAGGUGUUGAUUAUUGGUUUGGAAGUUUGGCAUGUUUUGGCAAUGUGAAUAUGUAGUAACAUAAUCAUUGAAUGAUCAUAUAUUGGACCAAUCAGCAAGUUUUCUUAUUGGAUCUGCAUGUGUGAUUGCAUUUUUUUUAAUUGUUGCGUGGGAUUGUCAUGGCAGAUUAUGUGGCAUGUACUGUGGAAUAAGCUUCCUAAGUUCUGUUAUUCUUAUACAAUGCAAACAACCACAGAUGCCUCCACUUUUCGCAUGUGAUGCAAGGGGGUAUAAAAGUGGAUGAAUAAAAUGGAGAGCUGCUAUCAUUAGUUUAACAUCUGAUUGACAAAGCAGGGCUAUUCAUGCUUUUCAUCCUGCACGGCACAGAUCUAUGUGAGUUUUGACUAUUGUUUCCAGUGAAAUGGUCAUGAGCAAACAUGAUGAAUGAUUCAUUCAUGGGAAUCCAAACAAACUAAUGAUGCUUUAUGUUGUUUCUGGUAAUGUGCUAAGUUAUAUUUUUGUCCCCAUUCGUAUUCUUCCAUUUCCUGCACUUGUUUUUAAAUGAACUAAUAUUUUAAAAAGUUAUAUAUAUAUUUUUAAUUUUGUUAUUUUAUUCUUGAUUUUUGGUUAUCAGAACUCUUUCCCACCUCUUAUUUGUUGAAUUUUUUCCCCCUGAAUUUACAUUUCUUUUUUAAGAGAAGAAGAAGAAGAAACGCACUGACAACAUGGACGUUUCUGAAAUCUCAAAAAUCUUGCCUUUGGAGCCGCGCCAUUGGCUUGGACCGACUGUAUUCAGCUAGUUUCACGCUAGGCCAGUUUCGGUCUUCUCUUUUGAAAAUUACUGAUUCCAUCUUGGCUUUCUUCUUUGGUGUUGUCAGAGUUGAGUAGAUCAGUGGCAGCUGUAACCAGAGUGAGGUGAGGAUGGGGAGGAGAAUUUGAUAAUGGUGGUGAUGAAGGCCGACCAUCAACGACAGCAAAGGAGAAGGCCUUGAUGCAAUCUAUGACCUUCGCAUUGUGCAUGUGAUCCAUGCAAGGCUGUGAGGACCAUGAAAUCAAGGGCCAUCGAUAUGCAUAAGCUGUGAAUGAACUCUCUCUUAAACAGAACUUAUAGUUUGGUAUGAUUGGAAGAAUUGUUGCUUAAUUAAAUUGUUAGCAAUGAGUCAAGUGUUUGCACAAGCUUAUACCAUUUAGACUGAUCGUUCAGUUUAUUUGAAAUGAGAAAACUUCAUAACAAUUACUUUUU